rnacentral:misc_RNA from 1 species
GAAAUGCGAUAAGUAAUGUGAAUUGCAGAAUUCAGUGAAUCAUCGAAUCUUUGAACGCACAUUGCGCCCGCCAGUAUUCUGGCGGGCAUGCCUGUUCGAGCGUCAUUUCAACCAUCAAGCCCCCCGGCUUGUGUUGGGGACCUGCGGCUGCCGCAGGCCCUGAAAAGCAGUGGCGGGCUCGCUGUCACACCGAGCGUAGUAGCAUACAUCUCGCUCUGGGCGUGCUGCGGGUUCCGGCCGUUAAACCACCUUCGUAACCCAAGGUUGACCUCGGAUCAGGUAGGGAGACCCGCUGAACUUAAGC